rnacentral:rRNA from 1 species
UACAGAGGUCUCAAGCGUUGUUCGGAUUCAUUGGGCGUAAAGGGUGCGUAGGCGGCGCGGUAAGUCGGGUGUGAAAUCUCGGAGCUUAACUCCGAAACUGCAUUCGAUACUGCCGUGCUUGAGGACUGGAGAGGAGACUGGAAUUUACGGUGUAGCGGUGAAAUGCGUAGAUAUCGUAAGGAAGACCAGUGGCGAAGGCGGGUCUCUGGACAGUUCCUGACGCUGAGGCACGAAGGCCAGGGGGGCAAACGGG